UACGGGAGGCAGCAGUGGGGAAUAUUGCACAAUGGGCGCAAGCCUGAUGCAGCCAUGCCGCGUGUAUGAAGAAGGCCUUCGGGUUGUAAAGUACUUUCAGUCGUGAGGAAGGUGUUAAGGUUAAUAACCUUAGCAAUUGACGUUAGCGACAGAAGAAGCACCGGCUAACUCCGUGCCAGCAGCCGCGGUAAUACGGAGGGUGCGAGCGUUAAUCGGAAUUACUGGGCGUAAAGGGCACGCAGGCGGUUAAUUAAGUUGGAUGUGAAAUCCCCGGGCUUAACCUGGGAAUGGCAUUCAAGACUGGUUAGCUAGAGUCUUGUAGAGGGGGUAGAAUUCCAUGUGUAGCGGUGAAAUGCGUAGAGAUGUGGAGGAAUACCGGUGGGCGAAGGCGGCCCCCGGGACAAAGACUGACGCUCAUGUGCGAAAGCGUGGGGAGCAAACAGGGAUUAGAUCC
rnacentral:rRNA from 1 species